rnacentral:rRNA from 1 species
UACGAAGGGGGCUAGCGUUGCUCGGAAUCACUGGGCGUAAAGGGUGCGUAGGCGGGUCUUUAAGUCAGGGGUGAAAUCCUGGAGCUCAACUCCAGAACUGCCUUCGAUACUGGCAAUCUUGAGUCCGGGAGAGGUGAGUGGAACUCCGAGUGUAGAGGUGAAAUUCGUAGAUAUUCGGAAGAACACCAGUGGCGAAGGCGGCUCACUGGCCCGGUACUGACGCUGAGGUGCGAAAGCGUGGGGAGCAAACAGG